ACCAAUCUAAAGAGGAAUGACCCCACUGGACGGAACAUCCUCAUCUUUCAUUGUGAAUUUUCCUCAGAGAGAGGCCCCAAACUAUUGAGACACCUGAGAAACCUUGACCGAAAGCUGAACAGUGACCGUUACCCUUUCCUCUUCUACCCGGAAGUAUACCUUUUAGAUGGUGGAUACAAGGCAUUCUAUGAACAACAUCAGUUUCAGUGCAAUCAAGAAACUACGUUCCCAUGCUGCACCAGGAUUACUCCAAACAACUACGUCACUUC